CAGGGUGUGGCAGCACACAGGGCAUGCAGAGGUAGGGGUGAAAACAUUCACCACCCAAAAGGUGCAAACUGUAUGACUGUAAACAGUGGGCAUGCUAAGAC